UCAAGCGAAUAUAGGUGUAUGGUGGAUGCCUAGGAGCUACGAGGCGAAGAAGGUCGUGAUAAGCUGCGAAAAGCCAGGGGGAGAAGCACAUAUUCUGUGAUCCCUGGAUGACCGAAUGGGGUAACCCAAUGGAUGUAGAUCCAUUACUACGAAGAUGAAUAAAAUAGUCUUGUAGAGCCACACUGAGUGAACUGAACCAUCUAAGUAACUCAAGGAAAAGAAAUCAAGAAGAGGAGCGAUCCUCCGGAGAUUCCGAAAGUAGCGGCGAGCGAAAUCGGAAGAGCCCAAACCGCUUUAAGCGGGGUUGUAGGGCCGCAUGGGGAUAACCCGUGGAGUUAUAAAACAUAUAUAUAGUAGAAAGGCUUGGGAAAGCCUGCCAAAGAGAGUGAAAGCCUCGUAUACGAAAUAUAGAUGUCUCCAUGAUGCGGUACCUGAGUACGGCGGGGCACGAGAAACCCUGUUGGAAUCUGGGUCGACCACGAUCCAAGGCUAAAUACUCCGUAGCUACCGAUAGUGCACUAGUACUGUGAAGGAAAGGUGAAAAGAACCCCGGUAAGGGGAGUGAAAUAGAACCUGAAACCGUAUACUAACAAGAUGUCACAGCCCUUUAUGGGUAGUGGCGUGCCUUUUGUAGAAUGAGCCUGCGAGUUACGUUAUAUAGCGAGGUUAAGGAAUAGUAGUUCCGGAGCCGUAGGGAAACCGAGUCUUAAUAGGGCGUUUUAAGUUGUAUGACGUAGACCCGAAGCCAUGGUGAUCUAGUCAUGAGCAGGUUGAAGCAAGGGUAAAACCUUGUGGAGGACCGAACUAUAAUCUGUUAAAAAAGGUAUGGAUGACUUGUGACUCGGAGUGAAAGGCUAAACAAACCUGGAAAUAGCUGGUUCUCCCCGAAAUGCCUUUAGGGACAGCCUCAUACAAAAUUACUGGGGGUAAAGCACUGGAUGGACUAGGGGGCGUCACUGCCUACCAAACCCAAUCAAACUCUGAAUACCAGUAAUCAACGUAUGGGAGUGAGACUGCGUGCGACAAGGUUCGUAGUCAAGAGGGAAACAGCCCAGACCAACAACUAAGGUCCCCAAAUAUUGCUAAGUGUAAAAUGAAGUGUAAGUGCACAGACAGCCAGGAGGUUGGCUUAGAAGCAGCCAUUCCUUAAAAGAGUGCGUAAUAGCUCACUGGUCGAGCACUUAUGCGCAGAUAAUGUAACGGGGCUAAGCAAUAUACCGAAGUUUUGGAUCUAACUCUUUGUGAGUUAGGUGGUAGGGGAGCGUUCCAUAGGUCGAUGAAGGUAAGUUGUAAGACUUGCUGGAGAUAUUGGAAGUGAGAAUGCAGGUAUAAGUAACGAAAAGACGGGUGAGAUCCCCGUCCGCCGAAAACCUAAGGUUUCCUGGGUAAAGGUAAUCUGCCCAGGGUAAGUCGGCCCCUAAGGCCAGGACGAAGGUCGUAGCCGAUGGGAAUCCGGUUCAAAUUCCGGAACCUUUAUUAGUUUCGAGGGCAAGACGCAUGAGGUGAAACCAGGCAGGGCGACGGUUGUCCCUGUCGAAGUAUCCAAGCUUUUGAGGUCUGUAGGCAAAUCCGCAGACUGAGGUGAGGUGCGAAGCGAGUGGAAAGAAAGUUGAAGCGAAGCUGGUGUAAUCAUGGUGCCAAGAAAUACUGUCUAAGGUUAGGCUAAUAAAGACCGUACCGUAAACCGACACAGGUAGGUGGGAUGAGAAAUCUAAGGCGCUCGAGAGAACUCGCGUUAAGGAACUCGGCAAAAUGCACACGUAACUUCGGGAGAAGUGUGGCCCCUUUUUGGUAAAAGAUGGGGGGUGGCACAGAGCAGGCCCAGGCGACUGUUUAUCAAAAACACAGGCAUCUGCGAAUCAGUAAUGAGACGUAUAGGUGCUGACACCUGCCCGGUGCUGGAAGGUUAAGAGGAGCGGUUAGCAGAGCUGCGAAGCUGCGAAUCGAAGCCCCAGUAAACGGCGGCCGUAACUAUAACGGUCCUAAGGUAGCGAAAUUCCUUGUCGGGUAAGUUCCGACCCGCACGAAUGGUGUAACGAUUCUGGGCACUGUCUCAACGCGAGACUCGGUGAAAUUUAUAUACCGGUAAAGAAGCCGGUUACUCACAGUUAGACGGAAAGACCCCGUGAACCUUCACCGUAACUUACUAUUGGGAUUUUAUUUAUCAUGUGUAGAAUAGGUGGGAGACUAUGAAGUAUGGGCGUUAGCUUGUAUGGAGUCGGCCAGUGAAAUACCACCCUUGGUGAAUGGAAUUUCUAACACAUGCCAUGAAGCUGGUGUGUGGACAGUGGUAGGCAGGCGGUUUGACUGGGGCGGUCGCCUCCUAAAGAGUAACGGAGGUGCGCGAAGGUCUCCUCGCGCUGGUUGGAAAUCAGCGUAUGAGUGUAAAGGCACAAGGAGGCUUAACUGCGAGACUGACAGGUCGAGCAGGUACGAAAGUAGGUCUUAGUGAUCUGGCGGUAGCGAGUGGAAGCGCCG
rnacentral:rRNA from 1 species